rnacentral:rRNA from 1 species
UACAGAGGGUGCAAACGUUGUUCGGAAUUACUGGGCGUAAAGCGCGUGUAGGCGGCUUCGAAAGUCGGAUGUGAAAUCCCGCGGCUCAACCGUGGAAGUGCACUCGAUACUGCGAAGCUAGAGUCCUGGAGAGGAAGGUGGAAUGCUUGGUGUAGAGGUGAAAUUCGUAGAUAUCAAGCGGAACACCGGUGGCGAAGGCGGCCUUCUGGACAGUGACUGACGCUGAGACGCGAAAGCGUGGGGAGCAAACAGGAUUAGAAACCCCCGUAGUCC